rnacentral:misc_RNA from 1 species
GUACCAACUAAAGCAGCCAACAAAUUAUCUAAAUAAGUUCAACAUGCAUUUCUCUAAUUCAAUCCUUCAAAGGAAACAUCCCUAAGAGUUUGGGACACUCAACAACACAAAACAACUGACACCAAAACGAGUAAACAUUUAAGACCAACCAACUUGUGAUGACAAUAACCUCCUAAGAGUCUGAAAUAGUGACCUCCACCUCAACCCCAGGUUCAAUUGUUAUUGAAGUGAUCUGCUUCACAACCUCUGGGGAACUGACAAGGUCGAUCACCCUCUUGUGCACACGCAGUUCAAAGCGGUCCCAGGUAUUAGUACCUUCUCCACAUGGAGACUUUCUUGUGGUGAUAUGCAAGACUUUAGUAGGCAUCCUUACAGGUCCCUUCACUCUCAACCCCUUGUCUUUUCCACCACGAACGAGAUCAGCACAGACUUUCUCUAAGUUCUUCACAUUCUUAGAAGAAAGAGUAAUCCGAAUGCGGUGAGCAUCAGGCUGCUCCUCAAAACCAGCCUUCAGAGGCUUCAUCAUACCCAUCGACAUUGUUGUCUAGAAACUUGAGUUGUCUCCGCAAACCCGACCGAAGACCGUCGGCGACUUCGAGCUCUCGAGCGAAUUGCG